rnacentral:rRNA from 1 species
UACGGAGGAUGCGAGCGUUAUCCGGAUUUAUUGGGUUUAAAGGGUGCGUAGGCGGUCCGUUAAGUCAGCGGUAAAAUUGCGGGGCUCAACCCCGUCGAGCCGUUGAAACUGGCAGACUUGAGUUGGCGAGAAGUACGCGGAAUGCGCGGUGUAGCGGUGAAAUGCAUAGAUAUCGCGCAGAACUCCGAUUGCGAAGGCAGCAUACCGGCGCCAGACUGACGCUGAGGCACGAAAGCGUGGGGAUCGAACAGG